GGCGUGGCCGAGGUAGUCAAGGCGUCCGUCUCGCAGGUGGAAAGAUACCGGUGCAAUUCCGGUCGGGGUCU
rnacentral:tRNA from 2 species